GGGGCCACCAGGUUCAGCGGGCUAUCCAGGGAACCCAGGCCUUCCUGGAAUCCCUGGAGGAGAUGGACCACCAGGUCCUCCUGGUAUCCCAGGAUGCAAUGGGACAAAGGGUGAAAGAGGUCCUUUGGGUCCACCAGGUUUACCUGGACAAGCUGGAAAACUAGGGCCUCCAGGAAUUCCAG